UACGUAGGAGACGAGCGUUGUCCGGAUUUACUGGGCGUAAAGAGCGCGCAGGCGGUCGUUCAAGUCGCGUGUGAAAGCCCCCGGCUCAACUGGGGAGGGUCACGCGAUACUGAUCGACUCGAAGGCAGGAGAGGGAAGUGGAAUUCCCGGUGUAGUGGUGAAAUGCGUAGAUAUCGGGAGGAACACCAGUGGCGAAGGCGACUUCCUGGCCUGCUCUUGACGCUGAGGCGCGAAAGCUAGGGGAGCAAACGGG
rnacentral:rRNA from 1 species